CAGGGGUGACAGGUGGUGCAUGGUUGUCGGUCAGCUCGUGUCGUGAGAUGUUGGGUUAAGUCCCGCAACGAGCGCAACCCUUGUCCUUAGUUGCCAGCAUUGGUUGGGCACUCUAGGGAGACUGCCGGUGACAAACCGGAGGAAGGUGGGGAUGACGUCAAAUCAUCAUGCCCCUUAUGAGUUGGGCUGCACACGUGCUACAAUGGACGGUACAAAGGGCAGCGAAGCCGCGAGGUGGAGCCAAUCCCAGAAAGCCGUUCUCAGUUCGGAUUGCAGGCUGCAACUCGCCUGCAUGAAGUCGGAAUCGCUAGUAAUCGCAGGUCAGCAUACUGCGGUGAAUACGUUCCCGGGUCUU
rnacentral:rRNA from 1 species